CUAACAUAAAAACAAGUCAGGCAAUUAGGUCGACUAAUAAUAAAAUUGGUUUAAAUUAAGAACGGAUUACCUCGUAUCAUAUAAACGUAGUAAUUGAAACACAUUUAGUGCAGGCUUUUAUAUUUCCCAUACGCGCUUCAUACCAGUUUCUUGCCUCGAUUGCAAUCUUAAAGCUCUUGCGUCUUAUUUUUUAUUGAUAAAUAUGCCAGUCUCGAUCAUAGACAUAUAAUAGAAUAUAAUGUAAUAUAUUAAUAAUACUCCAUUUUAUUUUGUCCCAUGAUCUCUAAUCGAGAUUCUCGAUGCUUGAAUUUUAA